AUGAACGCUGGCGGCGUGCCUAAUACAUGCCAGUCGAGCGAACGGACGAGAAGCUUGCUUCUCUGAUGUUAGCGGCGGCCGGGUGAGUAACACGUGGAUAACCUACCUAUAAGACUGGGAUAACUUCGGGAAACCGUAGCUAAUACCGGAUAAUAUUUUGAACCGCAUGGUUCAAAAGUGAAAGACGGUCUUGCUGUCACUUAUAGAUGGAUCCGCGCUGCAUUAGCUAGUUGGUAAGGUAACGGCUUACCAAGGCAACGAUGCAUAGCCGACCUGAGAGGGUGAUCGGCCACACGGGAACUGAGGCACGGUCCAGACUCCUACGGGAGGCAGCAGUAGGGAAUCUUCCGCAAUGGGCGAAAGCCUGACGGAGCAACGCCGCGUGAGUGAUGAAGGUCUUCGGAUCGUAAAACUCUGUUAUUAGGGAAGAACAUAUGUGUAAGUAACUGUGCACAUCUUGACGGUACCUAAUCAGAAAGCCACGGCUAACUACGUG
rnacentral:rRNA from 1 species